UAUCUCUGUAGAGUCUGCAUAUCAAUAAGCGGAGGAAAAGAAACUAACUAGGAUUCCCUCAGUAACGGCGAGUGAAGCGGGAAGAGCUCAAAUUUGAAAUCUUCAAGGUUCUACCUUGACGAAUUGUAGUUUAAAGAAGUGUUUUCUGUUGGAGUUUUGGUAAAAGUUCUUUGGAAUAGGACAUCAUAGAGGGUGAGAAUCCCGUAUUUGACCAUUAUUUCCAGCUUUGUGAUACACUUUCAAAGAGUCGGAUUGUUUGGGAAUGCAGUCCAAAAUGGGUGGUAAAUUUCAUCUAAAGCUAAAUACUUGGCGAGAGACCGAUAGCGAACAAGUACCGUGAGGGAAAGAUGAAAAGAACUUUGAAAAGAGAGUUAAACAGUACGUGAAAUUGUCAAAAGGGAAGCGUUUGACACCAGUGUUGUUUUCUCGAAAAUCAAUUAAAAAAGGCAGGAUUUUGUGUUGUAUUGACUUUAUCAGCUUUCUGCACUCUUUUCUUGUCUUUUUUAAUGCACUUUUCGUUUAACAAGUCAACAUCAAUUUCUUUUGUUGUAAAAGGGUCAUUGGAAGGUGGCUUUCUUUUCGGAGAAAGUGUUUAUAGCCUUUGGCCUCUGCAAUCGGAGAGAUUGAGGUCUGCAGCGUAGAUCCUUCGGGGUUAGAUACAUUUGUGCUAAGUUAUAGCCUUUCAUAGACAACUUGUUGACUAUGAUCAGUCAUGUAGCUUACUCGCUUAUGCUAUUUUACCUACGCUUAGGAUGUUGAUAGUCACAGCGUGUAC
rnacentral:rRNA from 1 species